GCAAAAAUUAAAUUACUUCUACUAUCUAAUUAUGUGGACAAAAUUGGAAUUGAUAUUUAUUUACAACUUAUCCAAACUUGUUGUAUUUGUUGGUUGUUUAUGAUAAAAUGUUUUUAAACACAGUCAGUGUUUAAGUUAAGAUAUGACUUAAUACAAAUAAUCUGAAUUAUGGUAUAAGCAUAAAUUAGACUAAAGAUAUUUUCUGUUCAGUGAACAACAACAAAAUGAAGUGGUUAAUGCUCAUCUCUUUCCUGGUUUUUGUGAGUACAUACUCACUUGCUGAAGAAUCAGCACUAACGGAUGCAAUUAAAAAAAUCGUAACAGCGAUUGCCCUUCAGUUAAAAGAAAUCCAGGAGAUCGCUCUCGAAUGUAAAAACAAAACUAAUUUGCCCGACGGAUUAUUUCAAAAAAUUCAAAACAACGACAAAACAGUGGAUGCAGCACCCGUUAAACAAUAUUUGCAUUGCUUUCUAGUAAAAUUGGAUAUCCAAAAUUCUGACGGAAGCUUCAAUGAGGACCUCAUCAGUAAGAAAUUAAGAAGCGGAAAACCAUUAACUGACGAUGAAAAAAAGUGUCUGGUACAACUGGAAAAUCCAAACGAAACAGCACUUAACUUUUAUAAAUGUUUCGAUUAAAUUAAAUUAUUUUUAACGAA